GAAUUUCUCUGAUCAGAUGAGAAUGUCUCAAAAGUGGCUAAUAUUAUUGCUAGUUCAACUUUCAGUCAUCUUAAUGCAAUCGUGGCAGAUAAAUGCCGCUUGUCACAGGCAUAAUCGGCAACAUUUAAAUGCGAGAAUGAAUUCUUUGCCCCUGCCUUCCAUUGAUAUUUCUGGACAUGCAAGAGAAUCUAUGAUAAAAAUUUGGAAGAAUGCUAGUCAUAAAUUGGCGAAAAUUUAAC